rnacentral:rRNA from 1 species
CAGGUGUGUGGGUGGGUAGGGGAGCGUCGUGCAGCCAUGGAAGCAUCGGAGUGAUCCAGGUGUGGAGGCUGCGCGAGUGAGAAUGCAGGCAUGAGUAGCGAAAGACGAGUGAGAAACUCGUCCGCCGAAUGACCAAGGGUUCCUGGGCCAGGUUAAUCCGCCCAGGGUGAGUCGGGACCUAAGACGAGGCCGACAGGCGUAGCCGAUGGACAACGGGUUGAUAUUCCCGUACCCGUGUAACCGCGCCCAUGGUGAAUCAGUGACACUAACCACCCUGAAUCCAUAUGACCGAUCUCUUUCGAGAGUGAGGCGUGUGGUGGAUGCGUGGGACCUGAUCUGGUAGUAGCCAAGCGAUGGGGUGACGCAGGAAGGUAGCUGGGCCAGUCAGUGGUUGUACUGGUGUAAGCCUGUAGGGCGAACGGUAGGCAAAUCCGCCGUUCAUCAAGCCUGAGAGGUGAUGCGUAGCCGAUUGAGGCGAAUUCAGUGAUCCUAUGCUGCCGAGAAAAGCCUCUAGUGAGUUGUUACACGGCCCGUACCCCAAACCGACACAGGUGGUCAGGUAGAGAAUACUAAGGCGAUCGAGAUAACUAUGGUUAAGGAACUCGGCAAAAUGCCCCCGUAACUUCGGGAGAAGGGGGGCCCCUGCCGGUGAUCACUCUUGCAGUGUGAGCUGGUGUGGGCCGCAGAGACCAGUGAGAAGCGACUGUUUACUAAAAACACAGGUCCGUGCGAAGUCGUAAGACGAUGUAUACGGACUGACGCCUGCCCGGUGCUGGAAGGUUAAGAGGACCGGUUAGCCAGUAAUGGCGAAGCUGAGAAUUUAAGCCCCAGUAAACGGCGGUGGUAACUAUAACCAUCCUAAGGUAGCGAAAUUCCUUGUCGGGUAAGUUCCGACCUGCACGAAUGGCGUAACGACUUCUCAGCUGUCUCAACCAUAGACUCGGCGAAAUUGCAUUACGAGUAAAGAUGCUCGUUACGCGCGGCAGGACGAAAAGACCCCGGGACCUUCACUACAGCUUGGUAUUGGUGUUCGGUUCGGUUUGUGUAGGAUAGGUGGGAGACUGUGAAGCGGUGACGCCAGUUACUGUGGAGUCGUUGUUGAAAUACCACUCUGAUCGUAUUGGAUACCUCAACCUCGGACCAUGAUCUGGUUCAGGGACAGUGCCUGGUGGGUAGUUUAACUGGGGCGGUUGCCUCCUAAAAUGUAACGGAGGCGCCCAAAGGUUCCCUCAGCCUGGUUGGCAAUCAGGUGUCGAGUGCAAGUGCACAAGGGAGCUUGACUGUGAGACUGACAAGUCGAGCAGGGACGAAAGUCGGGACUAGUGAUCCGGCACCGGCAAGUGGAAGCGGUGUCGCUCAACGGAUAAAAGGUACCCCGGGGAUAACAGGCUGAUCUUCCCCAAGAGUCCAUAUCGACGGGAUGGUUUGGCACCUCGAUGUCGGCUCGUCGCAUCCUGGGGCUGGAGUAGGUCCCAAGGGUUGGGCUGUUCGCCCAUUAAAGCGGCACGCGAGCUGGGUUUAGAACGUCGUGAGACAGUUCGGUCUCUAUCCGCCGCGCGCGUAAGAAACUUGAGGAAGGCUGUCCCUAGUACGAGAGGACCGGGACGGACGAACCUCUGGUGUGCCAGUUGUUCCACCAGGAGCACCGCUGGUUGGCUACGUUCGGAAGGGAUAACCGCUGAAAGCAUCUAAGCGGGAAGCCUGUUCCAAGAUGAGGUUUCUCACCCCCUCGAGGGGGUAAGGCCCCCGGCAGACCACCGGGUUGAUAGGCCAGAACUGGAAGUACAGCAAUGUAUGCAGGUGACUGGUACUAAUAGGCCGAGGACUUACCACA